CGGGGAGUAGCGCAGCCAGGUAGCGCAUCUGCUUUGGGAGCAGAGGGUCGGAAGUUCGAAUCUUCUCUCCCCGACCA
rnacentral:tRNA from 1 species